CCACACUACGCUAAAUCGUGGAAAAUCAAGGCAGUAAUGCACACUGUCAAGCGUCGGAACUUUUGUUCUUCGUUCUUGUUGCUAGAGGACUUUACAGUGACGUACUGGAGUCGGCUGCACCAAUAAUCAAAGGGCUGGCAGUGAGCAGUCAAGCAUGAACGUGAAUCAGGGAACCGUGGGCAGCGACCCGGUCAUUUUGGCUACAGCUGGGUACGACCACACGGUCCGCUUCUGGCAGGCCCACAGCGGGAUAUGCACUCGGACAGUCCAACACCAGGACUCCCAAGUGAAUUCACUUGAAAUAACACCUGAUAGGAGUAUGAUUGCUGCUGCAGGUUAUCAGCAUAUCCGCAUGUAUGAUCUGAACUCUAACAACCCCAACCCGGUGAUCAACUAUGACGGUGUUAGCAAGAACAUCACAUCUGUGGGCUUCCAUGAAGAUGGACGCUGGAUGUACACAGGAGGAGAAGAUUGCAUGGCUCGUAUCUGGGACCUGAGGUCACGAAAUCUACAAUGUCAGAGGAUCUUCCAGGUCAAUGCGCCAAUCAACUGCGUGUGUCUGCACCCAAACCAGGCAGAACUAAUAGUCGGAGACCAGAGCGGUGUGAUACAUAUUUGGGAUCUGAAGACGGACCACAAUGAACAGCUGAUCCCCGAGCCAGAGGUGUCGGUCAACGCUGUUCACAUCGACCCAGAUGCUAGUUACAUGGCGGCCGUCAACAGCUCAGGAAACUGUUACGUAUGGAAUGUGGCUGGAGGUAUAGGAGAGGAGGUGACGCAGCUUAUUCCCAAAACCAAGAUCCCUGCGCACAAACGCUACUCUCUGCGCUGCAAGUUUAGCCCCGAUUCCACUCUGUUGGCCACCUGCUCAGCUGAUCAGACCUGCAAGAUCUGGAGGACGUCCAACUUCUCCCUGAUGACAGAGCUGAGCAUCAAGAGCAACAAUCCUGGAGAGACAUCUAGAGGCUGGAUGUGGGACUGCGCCUUCUCUGGAGAUUCGCAGUAUAUAGUCACAGCUUCCUCGGACAACCUGGCUCGACUGUGGUGUGUGGAGACGGGUGAGAUCAAAAGGGAGUACAGCGGCCACCAGAAGGCGGUGGUGUGCCUGGCCUUUAAUGACAGUGUGCUGCCCUGAGGAGGAGGAGGAGGGUGAAGAAGAGGACUGUAAGUGGUACACGCCUCUUGGCAUACAAUGACCUUGGGGGGGGCUGUUUAUCACCUGUAAGGCAUCAUGAGAAAGCCAAAUCCACCUUAAGGUUCUGAGAUCCAUCACAGGCUAUAAAAAAUGUGUACUAUUCUAAAUAAUAGUAUUUAUAGUACUACUACUACUAUUGGGUUUCAUCACUGUUGAAGAGGUGCAAGCUCCCCCAUUUUUGAACUUGUUGAAUACAUAAACUGGUUAUUUGGCGGCAAUGAGACCUGACUUGACCCCAAUGUGGCGUCAGAGUACAGUACAUCUGUUUUGUAUAUUAUUUUCAACAUUUAAAUUCUGUUCUACACAUUAAUUAACAAUUAUAGACAUACAGCUUUUAUUAUUGGAGCACGUGACAUUGCAUUACAAUGAUUACAGGAAGUACAAAUGAGGAAGGAAUCCCACCAGCCUUAACGAGCGAGCUAAAAAUGGGGGCCGUGGAGGACAAGGCAUCAUCAGUCAGGCAGGUAGUAGAAGCACAUAGACAUACAGAUGUUGUUGGGGAAGCAGAUGUCUAUGCAGAAAUACACCAGCCUCUGUUUGCCCGGUCCUGAGAAAGACACAAGGUUGUAGACCACCACAUUGUAUCUACGGAGGCAUCUUGUAGAUUUAGUCAUUGCUAUACUGCAUGGCUAUUUUUUAGCUGUAAGCGAGACUUUACCGUCAGCCCUCUUGGUCCAGUGGAUGGGCCUGUCUCGACACAGAACCCGGAGAGGUUCCUCCAGGUUGGAGAGGUCUGUCUGGGUAGCAGCCAGAACCCCUAAGAACUCUGUGCGCCUCUGGGUCUCAUUCACAGACAGCUGGAAGUGACUCUGUAGACAAGAUACAAAUAUUAGAGACUCAAAAUGUCAAAAAAUAAACAUACUGUUAAAUCAAAGCCUCUUUUACAGCGCAGGCAGUAUGUUUGCUACAUCUCCUGCAGUUGUUUACCCAAUAACCUAAAAAGUUAGUCACAUUUUGAAGACAUGACAAGCAAAUAUAUGAGGCAACGUUACAGCAAUAUUCUGGCCAAAUAUUUAAUUCUCCCUAUAUGGCUCAUAUUGCCAAAAUGACAUCUAAUUGGAUGCGGGUCGGGCUGUAUUUCACUGCAAAAAGGGAAGUCUUAAAAGCUAAAAAGCCCCCCACACAGUGAGGCCAUUGUGUCUGCUCCAAGACUCGGGCUCUGGCUUGCUGUGGUCUCCUGUAAGAAGAUCCUGGGCUGCAGGGAUCAGAUGUUUUGAGGAAUCCAGCAGGAGAGAAGGACUUUUAAAGAGAUACUUUUGUCCUUUUGUCCGGAAAGUCUUGACUUACGGUCAACAUGUUUAAAGAUGGAAGGAUUCCCUAUUACGCUUUUCUCAAUAGCCUCGUUACCUUGUGUGCCGACGCUUGAAGUAAGGCGUGAACAUUCUCGUAGUCUGACGUUUCCAUGGUCCGGAGGAAGCAGCUUUUCUGGAUGACUGACGUACAUGCUUGAUGUCAAAGAGCACCGUGGAUGUGAGAUUCGUCCUUGACGUCACAGAAAAGGUCACAAGGCCAUUUUGCUGGUCUACAACAGCUGACUGGUUGAGGAGCAGGGCCCCGCUCGGGUCUGGAGCAAUGAUUCGGACAGCCUGUGAGGACUAAAAGAGGUAAUGAUGAAUAUGGCGUUGAGAUGGUGGACACGGUGAGACAGUUCUGAUCAAACCCGUGAGUGGAGCUUGGGCAGCCCAAGAUGUCCAGUCAAUCCCAGAGCCAGGAGGACCAGGAGCAAGGAAGUGGAGAGGCUGAUACAGAUGACUUUUUUGGGGAUGGAAGACGAUGAGCCUCCAUUCUAGAAGCACACACACACAAGCCAUUGCUACACUUCCCUUUGUCAGCAUGAACCAGGAAAAGACUUACCAGACAGCAUCCUCCCUCCAAAGUGGCCUCUGGAAGAUUCCAACAUCUCACCAUCCUGUGUCCCAUCAUGGUUCCUCAUACAACUCGUCUGCUCCCUUCUCCACGCUAUGGGUACCGAGGUGUGGUCAUGAUAGGUGCUGGACUGAGAUCCGAUUCACCUGGCUGGCUUCUCUCUCUUCAUCUCCAGAGACCUCCCACUUCAUUCCCCUUCCCCCUCCUAGUCCUAGUCCUCCUCUUCUUGUGUCUUUUACACAGAUCCUGCAAUUAAAGCCUCAUCACAGCCCCAGCGGUAGAUCUGCCACUUAGAGGUAUUUGCCUUUCACACAGAACCCAGCAAAGAAGGAUAUGACUGCAACUGUGUGUACUUUUACACAGCAAAGCUUUACUUUGUUAGUGGCUUUUUCCUGCAGAACGGUAGGAAAAAAUCAAAAAGUGUGAAAGGGGCUUCUUUAAACACAGGAACCAGCUCGCCUCGGAUACUGCUGUGGAAAUUCACUCUUAAAUGACGAAAUACAGACAAAUAAAUAAGGAAGUCGGAUUAGAGUUCUGGUGCAGGUUGCAUUCUACCAGUUUCCUUCAUGCGUUUCCCCCCUUUUUUUUUUGGGACUCCACACACACUUGGCAGCCGACCCCAGCCGAGACAAUAGACAAAGGCAUAAAAGCAACCUCGGCAUGGAAGACAUCUUUCAGCAGGAAAGCGGUCAUAUGAAACACUCGAGCGCUGCUGCUGCUUCCGCCGCAUGAAAGCAGAAGGUGACUUUACCAACACAGAACCAGCAGGGGGGAAAAGAGAGAAGACUAUUUUAAUAACCGUUAGGUGGACGUGCACAAACAUAACACUUUGUGUUAAACCAAAGAAGACUUUCAAAAACAUUUUGACUGCAUCAUGGUCCUGUUUGAAAGGGAUGUAAAUUCAGUCUCGCAAGAGCAAAGACCACAUUGAUGCUGGCUUCCUUUAUUGGCUUGUACUUUUAGUUGCUUAAGUGGGUGGAUUACAUCACAUGGGGGCAAGUACACUACACAUAUACAAGUAUAUGUUAUCAUACUGUGUGGUAAUAGGCUGGCCUGUUGACUUUUUCACAAUACUAGGAGUUACUUUUUUUAAAAAGCAUAUAUGUGAGGUUAUCAUGUAGCAAUACAUUUUAUUGCAGCAAAAACUAAUUUAAAUAUUUAGAUAUUAAGCAAAAAAUAUCACUAUAAAAUUACUGGAUUUUUUUUUUUGCUUAAGUAAUUUUAAAUAAUAUAAUCAUUGAUAUUAUAUUAAAAACAAUGAAUUGUUUUUUCUUGCUUUUCAGUGUAAAAUUGGGGUUUAUGUCCUCCAUCACACCACAACACAGUGGUGUCUUUGUUGUGGACAUAAUAAAUCAGUAAUAUGGAAGACUAUGAUCGGGCGAGCCAACCUCCUGUACCGCAUGAGUCUUGACAGUCUCAUCCUUGCAGGGCCGGAAGAAGGUCAGCGAUGCUCUCCACGUAAUAAUCAGGCACCAUCCUCUGCCUUUCGGCACAGCCGCUCCGUUGAUUGGCUUCCGCCUCAUCCACCGUGCUGACCCCGGUGAGGGUGAGGAGGGUCUUCAGGCCGCAGUUGGAGCCCAACAUGAUGUCCGUGUCCAGGCGAUCGCCCACCAUCAAGCAACGGCUGGGGUCUACGCCAAAUUGUGAGGCCACGCAGUCGAACAUGAAGCGGUUGGGUUUGCCCACCGUUGCGGCUUGGCGCUGGGCUGCGGUCUCAACAGCCUGCAGGAGACAGCCGGUACCUGGGGAAGGAAGACAAAAAAUUGGGUCAAUUGUCUUCAAUAAUCUUCAAGUCUCUGACCAGCAGAAUCAACUAGAUGCAGGCUGACCUCCAUAUUGGAAUGCAAAAGCAGAAAAAUCAAUUCAAUGUCAAAUGGAAUUUCCCCCUACCUGGGACAGCAGUGCCCCCCUCCAGAGGCAGCCUGGUGUCCCUGUUGGUUCCCACAAACAAACAGUCCGACCUGAUGAUGUACUGCAACGCUCUGUUCAGCUUCAUGUAGCUGAAAUGUUCAUCAAACCCGACCAGCACCGCCUUCACCUCCGGAUCCAGGGGUACGUUAGCCCAGUCGGUCUGCUUCCCGAAGAUGUGGUCUGGUCCCAGCCCGGUCUGCUGGAUCCCUACGGCCUCCAGCUCCUGCUUCAUGGCGUCGCUGCCCAUGAGGUACACUUUACCCUGAAGAUUGCACGCCGUCUUCAGGUACAUGGCGGCGCAGUACGCCGUCCCAAACACCUCCUCCUCGGCCACGUCGAAGCCCAGCGUGGACAUUUUAUCCACGUACAUCUUCCUCGUCUUGGUGCUAUUGUUGGUGACGAAAAAGACUUUCUUGCCAUGUUUCUUGAGUAGUUUUAUAACCUGAGGGGCGCCGGGGACGGCUUGGUCCCCUCUCCAUAUGACGCCGUCACAGUCGAACAGGACGCUGUCCACGGAGUCAAGCAGUUGUUGGACCAGCUGUCCGCCCAGGCGUGUGCACUUUGACCCGGACAUGAGGCGGCAAGUUGAGCUUAAGUGUCAAAAAUAAACACGCUAUUUAUUUGUGGUCACGUAAUUCUCCGCCAAGUUGCUUUUCCCUACCA